GGUGCACGGUAAAGAAACAGACUUACAUUGUUACACUCGAAGAAUGGCAUCGCAGACAGAAUUUUCUUUUUCAUCAAAUGUGCGAGACUAGAAUCGAAAGGGAUGGAACGCAGUUAGCGGGACAGAUUUUCCUGACACGGACGAGCUGGGAAGCAGCGAGAGCUUUUAGCUUCGGGUUUCCUGUGGUUUCGAAGCUCAACUUUUCAUCGCGACCGAGAGAAAGAGAAGGAUAGGGUAUAGUCAGAGUGGAAAUGCCAGCCAAGGGUUUCUAGUUUGGAUAUUUGCCGCUGAAAAAUGUUGUCCUAUAUUUGGAUACGGUAUCCCGAAGGGUGAGAGAGGGGAUAGCUUGUCCCUCGACUGAACCAUUAAAAUCCUACUGUUCCGCUUCUUUUUGAUUCGUCACUUAAAUGUCGGUGACACGUGUCUCCGUGCACUUUGACUCAGCUAUUAAUUUGCGGUAAUUGAAUGACGUGACGUAAGAUGUGUUGCAUUAAGUGCACGUGGCAUAGUUUCAAAUUUGAAGAGAAAAUUUUCUUUAAGAACUCAAUUGAAAUUAAAAUUAAAAUUAGAAUUAUCGAAUGCCUCUGAAAUUAAUUUACAAUAGGUAAUUCGAAAUUGCCAACUAAAGGGUUAGAUAAAAAAAAAAAAAAAAAUGGAAGGAAAUUUCUGAUAAAUUAGUAAUAAAUAUCGACAAGGAUGAACGAACCAUGGCGAAUCAUGAAGAAACAAAGGGUAGAUCGUUUCGGUAGUAGCAGUUUGCCCUCGGAUUUCACGGUGGAGGGAUUAUAUAUGCAAACGAGGCGCAUUUUGCGGUAGCUGCCUGGCCAGUGAUAAUCGAGAACAAUUAAAAUGCAAUGUUAUGAAAGAUACACAGGAAUGUGGGUAAUAAAAGCGAAGUCAAAGAACCGUGUCCGAAACCCUUUUCAUAAUAUAUUUAUUGGCUAAUAUUAUCACGUUGCAAUAUUUCAAUUUUCAAAAAGGAAAUAAAAAUUAACUCCCUGCAAAUGUACUUAACAUCAAAAGGAUUAAAGUGUCAUCAUAUACGCGUGUCGUAAGCACAGGUAUCUUUUAACACCCUCGCUCGUUCGUGACAAGUAAUAAUUAAUUUACACCGUGGCUCUGCAAGCUCACGAGACUAAUGAAUGUUAAUACAUUCACGUUUCAACAAAGUUCGCCGUAUUUGCCAUUUGAUUUCUCUGAACAAGUUUUCCUCUCGCGACGUGAUUAAUCAGCGUUCCUCAUUGUUUCAAAAAGUGAACGAUACUGAUAUGUCAAGGCUGGCUGCAAGAAGAUAAACCAGGAUCCUUGAACUUUAUUUACACUCGUUUACAAUGGAAUAUUAAUCCUUUUGCAUUACGUCGAAAUCACUUAAAUCCACUGCCAACUCUGGCGCAAGCUACACAAGAUCUUGUGUACUGUCGAGUAAUCCCUCAGGAUCCGGUGCUUUGACUGGCAACAGCUUUGAACCAAACGUUUGGUUCGGGACGGAUUUCGUGUUGAUCGAGAAUGCUUCAUCGGUCUCCUUUCUCCUGGAUAUUCGAAUAACGAACGAUAAAUUAAUCCGUACAAAUUGAUCUCAGAUGCAUAAAUAUAUUAAUCGAAUAUAAGGUAUUACCAACUGUGUCGCGCGAAGGAAGUUCUUUGUACUUAUGCCUGCAUACGGAGCACCGAUUGCUAGGAAUAAUUACGGGACAAUUAAUCAGCUUGAGUAAUUAUCUGCGCGCGGCAGAGAAUUCUGCGAGGCUUGUUCUGGCACACAUGAGAAAUUAAUUACUAGAUAUUCCGAUUUCGUGGGAGUAAUGGGAUUAUAAGUAGCUGACGUUUUGUUGCAACUUGACAUUACCAAUAGAUGUACGAACAGUAUGAAUCUACAAAGUUUUACUUGUACGUAGAAGUGAAUGAAAAUUUAAUGGACAAAUCAUUUUCUGCGUGCGACAGUUCAUUGAGUCACUUCUGAAGCAACUGAAAUGAGUUUGCAAUCAAUAAUCGCGAUUAAUAUUUCACUAUUCCAGUCACGAUCUUUGAAUUGCCCGUAAAAGGAAAGUUCGAUAAUUAACGGUACACAAGUUAUUCAAUUAUCAAGUCCGUCCAGUAGGAGGUAGCACUGUUUGCAUAGUUUAGAUGGGUUAUUUGUAUUCAAGGAAAAGAAGGAAGAAGGAGAUUUCUGUUAGGAGAUUAAGAGUCAGCUCUGGAGAUGAUCAAAAGAUCCGGGAGAAGUUCUCUGUCCCUUAGUUCGACCGACGUGGCACGACGACCCAAUUUAAUUAUCUAAUUAGACACCGGGCUGAACUGCGAAUUAAAUGAUUCAAGGGGCCCCGAGGGGGUGUUAAUCCGAGCUUAAGCUUCGACUAUUACAUUUGUCGAAGUAAAACGCAGCUUCACAACCUGUCGAGCGAUCGCACCGGGAUUCAUUUUUUCUAUUCUUCCUUUGUGCGCUUAACUCGCCCGAAUGACUAAUCCUGUGUGAUUUGACGAAAAUGCAUGGAAUGUAUUGCAGGAAUAAAAUUGUAAUUGUUGAAGAGUAGAUUUUCGUAUGUUUUUAGAAUUGCAUGCAUUCUAAACUGCACCUAUUUCAAAAUUGUAUCCAUUCAAAAUUGCACUCAUUCCGAAUUGCAUGCAUUGCGAUUUGCACCUAUUCUAAAGUGCAUCUAUUCCAAAUUGCAUACAUUUCAAAUUGCAUAUUUUCCAAAUUCGAAUACUUUGUUCGACAGUUCGAUAAAACUUCCAUUAUUUCUUUUUGCCUUUGAGCAUUCUCAUUCCAGCAAACGAAAAAAAAAAUAAAUUGUAGCUUUCUGUGAUUGUAAUGACCCACAUCGAAGCUACAGUGUAUCGAACGAUUCAUUACGUUAAAUAAAGUUUGCCAGACUUGCUCCGGUGCAAACCGGAUUGAACGGAAGUUCGUCGUUCAUUGUACUCGAUUAACAUUGUCGUAUUAAUAGCAAGCUUCCUACAGAUAUAGAAAACUGUAAAAGAAACCCGAAUGAUAGUAUAUAAUAAAUUGUAAUAAAUUUCAAGCUGAUUAGUAUUCCUUUGCACGAACUCGUAUGCAAACCAUGAAAUGAUGUGUAUCAGAUGAUAUAAGCAUAAAUCAACGUAUUAUGCGCGCAUAGAAUACAUCAUGCUACUAUUGAAAUAUGGAGACUGCUAGUUUGGAAUUUUAUUAAAUCGCUCGAUUUUACAAUAAGUUAUACCUGUAUUAUGUUUACACGAGCAAAUAUUUGGCAGGAGCUCCAUAUUGCAGAACGAUAUGUAUGCAUCCGGUGGGAUACUGGAAACCGUACGUGACGGUUAUUACGUAACAGUGUGAACAUAUUUUAUCGCGUAAUAAUGCUUAUUCAGUUACUUUCGUAAUUAACAUGAAAAUCUGGAAGAACGUUCGAGUGCUCAUUUAUGGACGAAACGUGGCAAAUUACGUGCUUUAUUAAUUGGACAGAUUCCAAAUUGCAUAUUUUGCAAAUUUCACAUGUUCCAAAUUACACGCUUUAAAAGUUUCAUCCAUUCCAAAGUACAAUUUCUCAAAAUUGCACGAAUUCACAAUUGCAAUCUUUCAAAGUUGGACGCAUUCCAAAUUGCAAUCUUUUAAAAUUGCAUGCAUUCCAAAUUACAAUCUUUCAGUUGCACGCAUUCCAAAUUGCAGUCUUUUAAAAUUGCACGCAUUCACAAUUGCAGUCUUUGAAUGUUGCACGCAUUCCAAAUUGCAAUCCUUCAAAACUGCACGCACUCCAAGUUGCACGCAUUCCAAACUGCAAUCUCUCAAAAUUGCACGCAUUCCAUAUUCCACAUAUUCCAAAUUGCACACAUUCCUACUUCUAUUCAUUGGUAGUAGCAAAAGGGUUAAGAAUAUUUGUCGUGUGUUCCUCGCUCUAUCGCAGUUGGUUCUCGUUAAUGAACAAGCAGCGAGGAACUCGUUGACAUCGGUUGAUAGAUGUCAAACUAGACAGACUCACUGUCAAGUGGCAUCGUAGUAAUGUCGCGAAAGAUAGCGUGUUUAAAGCUUAUCACGUGCAAUUUCUGCUCUUACCAAACGAUGAAAUUUCCUACGUCUAUGUCUAUAUCUUCGUACGAAGCUUCGUAUACAGCUUAGAUCCCUGUAAGCACGUGCAACUGGUUGCCAAUAAGCCGUGCCACCGGCAUGGACUCAUAGAAGCUGAUGUGUGCACGAUAUGCUCUAUACCUUAUGUCUUCAUCGAUUUAUUUAAUAGGCGUUUCAAAAUUUCAUGCUCAUUUUAUAAUUCGCAAAAUUGCAUUCGAUGAUUUGGUUCCAUUGAAAAGAGAAACCAAUGCAAAUUACAUUGCAGUUGCAUAAUUUUACAAAGAAGAUGCACAAUUACUUUGAUGCACGCAAUACAAGAACUUGGUCAGAAUGACAUUCCAAUAACAAAAAUGAUACCAUAAAUCGUCAUAACAUUGCCCGUAAUAAUCGGAAGCUACUUAAUUCGUAGAAUUAGGUCAUGGUUGUCGGGGCAAUUGCAUCGGUGCACAUCAGUCUGUGACCUUAUUAAUGUGUUACGAGCGAAGGGGCUAAGCAUACCUGAUUCAAAUUGUUCUUCAAACAUGUCUCGUGUCAUUAAAAACAGAUCUAUUCUCCUUAUUCUGGUACAUUUUGUACAUCAUAUAAUGCACUUUGAACCAGAGGGAUGGAAGUGACAUUUUUCUUUUCGCAUUUAAUAAUUUAACUAACCAUUUCUAUUUCUAAUUUAAAAAUUUCAAAGAAUGUCGCUCUCAUAUGUCACCAUAAAAUUUAUUUCCAUUACAUCUGCCUCCCCUAUCGUUCAAUCAACUAUCGAUUCCCUCUCCGUUGACUCAAUUUGAAAUGAAGAAUCUCGUUGAAUAAAGACAGGGAACAAAAUAGGUUCUUCGAUCCUUAAAAUUCAAUGUGCCGGAGUCGGAAGGUAAUAAAUCCGUGACGGUGUCGUGUAGCCGCCAUCGAAAUCCGGGAUCCCGUCAGCGAGAGGUGGCAUUUAAUGGCGCAGAGGCGACGGAAGUUGAAUCGUAAAUUCGGCCGGAAGGGGCGCGUGGAAAAGCGAGCAUCCGCGCCGUUGGAAGGCGAACUUUGCCCAUCCUAAUGUAGGUCUAGCAGCAACGUGUGCCGUGCUACGAACACAAGGACUCCGGGUCCCAUGGCCUAGAUUACAGCCCGUUUCCCUUCGCAAAUGCGAUCGGCCGCGUUUACCACCGGCGCGUACACUUAUCGCAUUGUGCAUGCUGAUACGCGUGAAAACGUCUUUAUUCUCCCGACGAGAUAGGAGCUUUUAAUCAACGAAGGAAUACUUUGUUAAUUGCCAAGCGAAAUAUCAUUAGGUUGAGAUGGAGUGUCUACAUUUUUCAGGCUUCUAAUUUGUAGUAAAAAAAGGGAAAAAUUAUAAAUUAAAUUUGCAAUUUUAUAGUGCAGAUUUUAAUAAUUUUUAAAUAUAAUUCUUUUUUUCUAUAAAAAUUACAAAAGUUAUUGAUUACGU